CGAAUGCAAAAGGAACGAUAUCACAGACAUUGGGUUCAUUGACCCGCACACAAUGCAUGUUAAAACCAUAGAGAAUCCCCUCUAUAACAAGGAUACACCGCAGACUUUGCUAAGGUUUUUGAAGCGACAACGUGACAAAAAGCUAAUACUUUGGCCUUACAACUUCGAGUUUCACUUUAUUCUUCUCGUCAUCAAUUUGGAAAUUGGAGAAGUUGAAGUCUUGGACUCACUAAGCAAAAAAUCGGAUCUAUACGUGUCUUGUUUUUUAAUGCUCAGAAGCGUAUGGCAAACUUUCAUCAAGGAAGAUACGUCCCGUGAAUGGACACCGAAGCUGCGAUGGCGUGCGAAAGUAAGUAGUACUACCUAGGUCCACACACCUUUUAAUUAUCAUACUUGACUAUUGUUUGAUUGAAUUAUAUUCUUGUAAAGAAAUGCCCGCAACAA